GCGCUGGUCGUAUAGUGGUUAGUACUUCUGCCUUCCAAGCAGAUAGCCUGGGUUCAAUUCCCAGCCGGCGCA
rnacentral:tRNA from 1 species